GGACAUUGUCUGUUGUCUGUUAUUGCUGUUGCUGUGGUCGUUUCUUCCACUGCUUUGGAUUGGUUUAUUGGCUGGGAACCUGUAUUUGGGGCGGUGGGUGUUAAGUCCGGUGGUGUUUGCCCCCUAAUUGAGUAUAGUUUUGUUUCGGGAGUAUUCCUUUGAAUUUGUGUGAGCCUUGUAUUUCCUUGCUGCUGAUUUGAUACUACCACCGUGUAUAUCUAUAUAUUUUCCUAUACUUUCGUGUAGUUGUGGCUGUGGGCGGUAAU
rnacentral:lncRNA from 1 species